UAUUAAUGCUUUACUCAUAAGUGUAAGGAUAAUAUAUUUCUAUUUAUUUGUAUUUUCUGUGAAUGUAAUACUGCUGAUAGUUUGUAAUACAUUCUCCCAGUUGUAAUAUUUUUCGUUUUAAAGGUUACUUAAAGACUCAGCCGACAUAUAUAAAGGACAACACCCAUGUAAAUAAAAUCACAAAAGUAAACUGUAGAUACCAAUUAAAUUUUCUAAUGCCAAUUUCUCUUCACCAUUUUUUUUUUCUUUUUUUUUUCAAUUAGUAUGAUCUACAAUAUGAUAAAAA